rnacentral:rRNA from 1 species
UACGUAGGUGGCGAGCGUUGUCCGGAUUUACUGGGUGUAAAGGGCGCGUAGGCGGGAAUGCAAGUCAGAUGUGAAAUCCAUGGGCUUAACCCAUGAACUGCAUUUGAAACUGUAUUUCUUGAGUGUCGGAGAGGUAGACGGAAUUCCUAGUGUAGCGGUGAAAUGCGUAGAUAUUAGGAGGAACACCAGUGGCGAAGGCGGUCUACUGGACGAUAACUGACGCUGAGGCGCGAAAGCGUGGGGAGCAAACAGG